CCUACGGGGGGCAGCAGUGGGGAAUAUUGGACAAUGGGGGCAACCCUGAUCCAGCCAUGCCGCGUGUGUGAAGAAGGCCCUCGGGUUGUAAAGCACUUUCAGUGAGGAAGAACGCCUGGUGGUUAAUACCCAUCAGGAAAGACAUCACUCACAGAAGAAGCACCGGCUAACUCCGUGCCAGCAGCCGCGGUAAUACGGAGGGUGCGAGCGUUAAUCGGAAUUACUGGGCGUAAAGCGCGCGUAGGUGGCUUGAUAAGCCGGUUGUGAAAGCCCCGGGCUCAACCUGGGAACGGCAUCCGGAACUGUCAAGCUAGAGUGCAGGAGAGGAAGGUAGAAUUCCCGGUGUAGCGGUGAAAUGCGUAGAGAUCGGGAGGAAUACCAGUGGCGAAGGCGGCCAUCUGGACUGACACUGACACUGAGGUGCGAAAGCGUGGGUAGCAAACAGGAUUAGAUACUCUGGUAGUC
rnacentral:rRNA from 1 species